UUCUUUGAGUCAUCAAUUUUAAGUCUUCCUUGCUCUAUAGCCAUUUGAAUCUGUUGACGGAAAGUCUUGCAAUCAUUGGUAUGAUGCGUAACAGAGUUAUGCAAUCUUGCAAUACUUCCUCUUUUUGAGCUCCUCAACCGACAGAAUCUUGUGACCCGAGGGCAACUUAAUCUAUCUAGUAACAACAAGUCAAAUGUUUUUGUCGGCCUUGAUAAUGUCGAAGUCGUAAGUCUUUGUAUUUGUCUUGAUCCAAGGGCACACAAUCAGCUUCAUGUUCUUGACCUACUCCAC
rnacentral:lncRNA from 1 species